rnacentral:lncRNA from 1 species
UAGUCAAGCACCCAGCUUCACCCUGGGGUUGGCCGCACAGCUUCAUCGGGGCCACAGCUGCUGAUGACAAUGGCAGUAGUGGCCAGUGUCUGCCGGCACGACCUCCCAUCAUCCCGGGAAGGGGCAGCGCCAGUGGGGCGCAGAUGCCUGCCAUCACAGAUGGAAACAGCAGGUAAAUGGCACUUGUUUCCUCCAGGUGUGGAGAUGCUUGUAUCUGGGACCCCCUGCCAUUUCUCAGGACACCCUCCUGCUCCUAGCUGGGAGAUCCAGCAUCCUCAUGAAUGCGGGGCCCAAGGCCACCAACUGUUCCACCUGCUGUCAGCCAGGCCUGUUGCCCCAGCCCUACACCCACAGCUCACCCAGCAGGGACUGGAGUGUGCUGCUGCACUGCUGGAGCCGGUCGCCCGGGUCGGAGGUUGGGAAGAAGACAGCCGCUGGCAGGCCACUGGUUGGGGGGUCCAGCCGGAAGCCCACAGCGGUGAGGAGGGCCUGCCAGCCAGGGAUGCCGCCCACUUUGUUCUCCACACUCUGCUGGGAUGUGUACAUGGCAUUGCGCUGCCCAUUCUGGAUGCGCUGCAGGGAUUUCUCCACCUGAGGGGGAAUUGGGGUAAACACUGGGAUGCCGGAGCUCAGGCAUCCCAGACAGGAGGAAGUGUGUACUCACACCAGCCAGGAGGAAACAAGCCUGCCUGGGAGGACAGACGAUCAGCCCUGGCUGUCCCUCAGGAGCGGGGGGCCUCCAAGGCACACUGCCCACUGGGUCAAGGAGUAUCCAGGAGGAGUUAGAAGCAUGACCCAUCUG